CAGCCGCCGCGGGAAUACGAAGGGUGCAAGCGUUAAUCGGAAUUACUGGGCGUAAAGCGUGCGUAGGCGGUUUGUUAAGUCUGUUGUGAAAUCCCCGGGCUCAACCUGGGAAUGGCAAUGGAUACUGGCAAGCUAGAGUGUGUCAGAGGAUGGUGGAAUUCCCGGUGUAGCGGUGAAAUGCGUAGAGAUCGGGAGGAACAUCAGUGGCGAAGGCGGCCAUCUGGGACAACACUGACGCUGAGGCAGGAAAGCGUGGGGAGCAAACAGGAUUAGAUACCCCUGUAGUCCCUGUCUCUUAUAC
rnacentral:rRNA from 1 species